rfam:Chloroflexi bacterium GWB2_49_20 gwb2_scaffold_276, whole genome shotgun sequence.
CUUGGUGAUCAGAGCGACGAGGGUACACCCGGUCCCAUACCGAACCCGGAAGUUAAGCUCGUCAGCGCCGAUGGUACUUGGUGGGCGACUGCCUGGGAGAGUAGGUCAUUGCCAAGA